GAUGAACGCUAGCGGCAGGCCUAAUACAUGCAAGUCGAACGGUGUAGCAAUACACAGUGGCGCACGGGUGCGUAACACGUAUGCAACCUACCUAUUAUUGGGGGAUAGCCUUUGGAAACGGAGAUUAAUACCGCAUAAGACAGUGACAUGGCAUCAUGUAGCUGUUAAAGCUUCGGCGAUAAUAGAUGGGCAUGCGUCCAAUUAGUUAGUUGGUGAGGUAAUGGCUCACCGAGACGAUGAUUGGUAGGGGAUCUGAGAGGAUAAUCCCCCACACUGGCACUGGGAUACGGGCCAGACUCCUACGGGAGGCAGCAGUAGGGAAUAUUGGGCAAUGGACGGAAGUCUGACCCAGCCAUGCCGCGUGCAGGAUGACGGCGUUAUGCGUUGUAAACUGCUUUUUUAUAGGAAGAAGAAGCCCUUGCGAGGGAAAGUGACGGUACUAUAAGAAUAAGCACCGGCUAACUCCGUGCCAGCCGCCGCGGUAACAC
rnacentral:rRNA from 1 species